UUAAUCUUGUUCCUCAAUUUUAUCUGUUCUUCUUCAUCUAUGUCUUUCCUAAUUCAUCUGUUUCAUCUUCUAAUCCUCUAAUUCUCCCUAUCUUUCUUCAAUAAUCUCUAAUCCUAUCAACCGAUCUAUUUUUGUAUAUCCACUUGUAGUGAUGUUCACUAUAAGUGGUAUCAGAGCGGUCGAUUUUGCGACUGCAAAUAUGGUAUCCCUCACAGAAAUUGAAGAACUAUCCCUUAAAAUUGAUAAGUUAGUAAACCUAACUGAAAUUGAAGAACUAUCGCUUCGAGUUGAUACGUUAGUGUGAGCUCUGGAUGAGAUAUCGAAAGAGUUGGGUGAUUGCCAAAGUAAACCAUCUCCGGAGUUGUUAGCCAUAUGGAAGCGAUUUCUAACAACAAAAGCAAAAAUACUUCUCUAUUAGAGCAUAAUAUAUAUGUGAGUGAAUCUAUUGAUGAAGACUGGAAAUCUAACUCGUUUGACAACUUCGAAUUAGUUGGGUCGGUGAUGAAGAAAGUGCCGCUGAUUGUGAAAGUAAUCGAUGAGAAACUUGAAGCAGCUACUGUUGAUUCAAGUUUAGAUAGUAAUUUCACUCAACAAUCUUCAAAUCCACCAGUACCAGAUGCGUCAGAUGGAGUUUUAGGUUCUUUUCCUGUUACAAAUCGUUCUCACAAAUCGGGUGAAUCGUAGAUGACCGAGGAUGAAAUUGUUUUCAAAUCGAAAUCAAUUUCACUUGAUUCAGGUGAUUUGAGUUCAGUUGAAGGUAAUUUUCGAUCUACACCACUAAUUAUUUUAUCUAUUAUCAAUGAAUCAGGUAGUAUCGAUGGAUCUGUUGGUAUUGACAAGACUCAGAAAUACAAGUCGACUACAAUGUUUCUAGACUACCAAGAAGGUAACAAAUGGAUACAAGCGUGUCGUCAACAAGCUCCUUGAAGAGCAUCCACAGCGGAAUAAUGUUCUUUGCACUAUUUCAAGAUCUUAUGUGACAAAGAAAUGUGUGUCUGGAAGUGCUGGUGACCUAAAUCUUCAUAUUCAUUCUAACAGUAGAUGGAGUUUCAAAGGAAAUGUGGGAUCUCUAAAGUUACAUCUGAGAUAUUGUGUAUGAAGAAUUCUGAGCGGUGCAAGAUAUUUCCAUUAUAGCGUGUAUGUUACUGGAAAGGUAUUUGAUCGAGGACAGUGGCUAGGAUGGAUUAUAAGUAGUUCUGAAUUAUGCUUGAAUAUUCUUACUUAUGAAUUGUUAGGGGAGCAUUCAAUUGUGCUUGUGUUUGGUAAUAAUAGUGACAGUUAGAUUGUUUGUAAGUUCCUUGAAGAACUGUUGCAGCAAGGUAAUCUUUUAUGGCUGUUCGAGAACACUCAUGAGCUUAUGGACCAAAAUUUUGGUAACUGUAAAAAGAGUUUCAGCGGUAACAAAAGGUAUCUUAAACUGCAGAUGGGAUAUUGUUUACUUGAAAUGUCUGAGGGCGUGGCAGUUUGAGUGGUGGAAGGUGCCUCUGUUGUAACCAGGAUAUUGCUGGAAGAGUAUUUGAUAGAGGAAGGUUGCUGGAGAUGAUCAUAAGGAUUAGUAACUUCUGCCUAGAUACUCUUGAUCAUUGUAUUAUUGUUCUAAAGGGGUCAAAAAUGAUAGCUGAGUAUAGUGGGUAUGUCUUUUUAUUGUUAAAAAAAUGUUGACAGCUUAGAGGAUUGCGAGUUGUUUGAUGGAGCCCUACAUCAAAUUCACAUUCUCUGUACUAUUUUGAGACUUAAUAUUACAAAGGAACAUAAAUCUGGCCAUGCACAAGAACCUUGUUAUCAGCUACUUGUUGGAGAUAUCAGUCAUAUUCAAAGGAAGGGAGCUUUACAGGGUUUCAAGAAGAUGGAAACACUUUUACCAGUUGGUGUUAUGCUUCUAAUGUGCAAACUGAUCGUUAUAAGGAAACUUAAUUAUUUGGUUUUCUCAUCUCAGUUUGGUUUCACUGUAUUCUCUCUUGGAUUAUGGAGUAUGGGAAAUGACAAUGACUAUGUAUUGAUUGUCACUGAGUCACAACCUGGAGCAUCUUGCUGUAUUGGUUUUGGUAUCCAUGAAUGGUUUUUAGGCUGGAGAAAAUUCCUUGUAAGAGUAGUGGGAAUCGUAGUGAUGCUUGUUGUAUUUAAGAGUGGUGAGAGCAUUACACAAGAGUUGUUGGAGGAAAUAAGUAAGAAAGCUACUAUGGUGUUUUCACUGGACAAAAAAUGCACAUCUGAGGUUUUUCUUCAUGGUGAUUCAAAUAGCAAUUUACAUAGGAGCCAGUGGAGUCAUUGAUGGUGUUGUGCUUGGUAAAGUCGUGUUUGAUAAAGGGCUCAACCAUCGGCACAAGGAAGUUGUGGGUGCAAUAGUAGGACAACUGAAGCAUGGGGUGUUUGGUGGUGAUAAGGAAGUCAUAUGCAAGAAUUGGAGGCAGUGGUAUGACAAGGUUGAGGUGAACAGGAAUGACCGAGCUUUGGAGAUGCAUUUAGAAGUCAUCUUGUCCCUUCCAGGUUCAUGCAUUGUGAGGUAUGGGAGUUGGAUGAUGUACAACUACACGGUAUACAUUAAAGUUCUCAACUCCACGUUCAAUCCAAUAUCACAUCGCUAGGGAUACUCUUCUCAAGUUGGUUGCUGUACAAGUACUUAUUUUCACCACAUCAUACGGCUUCCCCGUACACAGACUAUACAUGAAAGGAUGCAUGGUCGUCCUUGGAUGUUUUUGGCCAGCGUUGUUCACAAACUAGCUGCUUCACCUCAACUCAUUAUAAUUCAUCACCCUCGAGCAGCUGGUAAUAUCAAAGGACCUCUUAUUCUCCCGGGUGCUUUCACAGUCGGUAGCAGUGACAUUUUUGAAGUUAUUCAUGGUUGCGAUGGGAUCUUCGACAAUAUUAGCACUACAUAUUAUGCUUCUAUUAGUACCUACUGGGAAGCGACUUAUGAAGAUGGUGGUUUGUUUAACCUUGAGAUAAUAAGCACCAGUGGAUUGAUUCCACUAAUUAUUUUGGAAGACAAAACCAGUUCACAAGAGGAGACCACUUGUUAUGGGCUUUUUGCUGAGAUUAUAAGUCACAUUUCUUGUAGGGCCUGCGUCCGUGAAAAAGCUGCAGCAACAGUGCAUCCUAUUAGCCGGUCCCAGCUCUCAUUCCCUUACAACCAAGCUCGUUUCUCAUCCUUGAGGACAAGGAUGAUUUGGAGAGGUGGGUAUUUGUCAUGUACCUGGGGUAGGAUAGAAAGGGUAAUUGUGGUAGUUUAUUAUUACUGUAAGGGUAGUCUGGGUACUUACAUUGUGGGUCAUUUCUACAACUAUAUAGGUUGUGUUUGUUAUAGGAUAAUCAAUUAAGAAAUGAAUUAAUCUUGUUCCCCAAUU